AUACUCCCUCCGUCCGAAAAAGCUUGUCCCCCUCAAAUGGAUGUGUCUAGCACCAAGUUAGUGCUAGAUACAUCCAUUUAAGAGGCAAGUUUGGGACAAGUUUUUUCGGACGGAGGGCUGAAAUG
rfam:Triticum aestivum genome assembly, contig: Triticum_aestivum_CS42_TGACv1_scaffold_406562_5BL